UACGUAGGGGGCAAGCGUUGUCCGGAAUCAUUGGGCGUAAAGCGCGUGUAGGCGGCUUGAUAAGUCCGCUCUGAAAGCCCGGGGCUCAACAUCAGGACUGCAUUGGAAACUGUACAACUAGAGGCAGGGAGAGGCAGAUGGAAUUGUCGGUGUAGUAGUAAAAUGCGUUAAUAUCGACAAGAACACCAAAGGCGAAGGCAUUCUGCUAGAACUGUACUGACGCUCAGGGACGAAAGCGUGGGGAGCGAAUGGG
rnacentral:rRNA from 1 species